ACAAGUACCGUGAGAGACAGUUGAGAAGCACAUUGCAAAGAGAGUGCAAGACAUCGUGAAGUCAAUAUAAAGUAAGCGAGCGUUAGUGACGCAUUAGUCGUACAUUCAUGUAUGGUCUUCGUAUUGUGGUGCUGUUGUAUGUUGGGUGCGCUGGGCCCAUUGAUAUUGUCGGUCAAAGCUGGCGAGUGUGGUCCAUACUUGUGUGGUUACCUGCAGUAGUGGAUGAGUGGUUGAUGUUGGUGGUGUCAUGGAUUGGCGUUUGUGGCAACGGUUGGACAGGUGUUUGGCUUUUCGGUAGCACAUGUGUUAUCGUUUGGUUUGGCUGGGUUUGCUCGUCGAUCUUCCCGGUGUCUAGUCAGUGAAACGUUUGACCCGUCUUGAAACACGGACCAAGGAGUUUAAAGUAUACGCGAGUCAAAGGGUUAGGAAUCCCCACGGCGUAAUGAAAGUGAGUAGCUUGUGUUAGAUCAGUGUGAUGGAGGGUUCGUCCUUCUCGCAACACUGCCCCAUGCCGUAGUUUCGACUUGGUGUGGAGGUUGAGCGUAUGCUUUGAGACCCGAAAGAUGGUGAACUAUGCUCGAACAGGAUGAAGCCAGGGGAAACCCUGGUGGAGGUCCGAAGCGGUUCUGACGUGCAAAUCGAUCGUCUGAUUUGAGUAUAGGGGCGAAAGACUAAUCGAACUAUCUAGUAGCUGGUUCCUUCCGA
rnacentral:rRNA from 1 species